rnacentral:lncRNA from 1 species
AGAAAUUCAAAAAAAUAUAUAAUAAAAUAAAAAUCUUAAUAAAAAAUAAAAAUAAAAAUAUUAAUUAUAUCCUAAUCAAAAUCUAAUCAAAUCUUAAUCAAAUAUUAAUCAAAUUUUAGUCAAACCUUGGUCAAAUCUUUUUCAAAUCUUAGUCAACUCCUAAAUAAGCCGUAAUCAAAUUCUAGACAAAUUCUAGUCAAAUCUUAGUCAAAUAUUAAUCAAAUCAUAAACAAAUCCUAACAAAAUUCUAAAUAAAUCCUAGUCAAAUCCUAGACAAAUCCUAAAUAAGCCCUAACCAUAUCUUAAACAAAUCCUAAUCAAAUCUUAGACAAAUUCUAAUCAAAUCCUAAUCUAAACCAAAUCCUAAUCCUAUUCAAACCUUAAAUCAAAUCCAAGUCCUUAUUCCAACUCUAAUCAAAUUUUAAAUCAAUGUAAAAUCCUAAUCCUAACCCUAAACCAAAUCUUAAUCAAUUUCAAGUAAUUCCUACAGCAGAUUUAAACCUCAAUAACUAAUGAAUGAACCAUUGAUUUUAACUCAAAUUUUACACACUUUUUAACAAUUAAAUUGAAAACAAACACAAAAAAAAUUAAAAAGAAUUAAAUUUACCAAAUAGAUGAUAACCUCAAAAAUGGGUUCGUGUAUUGAUCGACCUCUGUCUUUGAUCUUAAU